rnacentral:tRNA from 1 species
AGCAAUGUGGCUUAGUGGAAAGAGCACAGGCCUGGGAACCAGAGGAUCUGGGAUCUACUCCCAGCUCUGCCA